AUUUAUGUGUAGGAUGCCAUUCUUACUACACAUGGUAGAAUCUCAUCACUGACCCCUAGUUCUUCACCCCGUCCUGUAAGUAAGCUCUCGGACGUGUGAAUUUGCAAGUCCCUUUCUGAAGAGGGAGGGUAUAUCUCCCUGCCUCUUGACUUUAGUUUGGAUGUAUUACUUACUUUGGCCCACAGAAUAUGGUAAAAGUGACAGGAUGCGGCUCUGAGCCGAGGUCUAAAGAAGCCGAAUAUGUUUCUGCUUGUUUUUGUGUGCUGUGCCAAUUUCCAUGAGAAGAACACAUCUCUGGUCCCAAGAAGAUGAGAGGCGUGUGGAACAAAGCCACUCCAGUCUAGCUAUCCCAGCUCAGCCCGGCCUAAACCAGCUGACUCCCAGCUGACCUGCAGAUACGUGGGGAGAAAAAAGGAAGAACACCAUGUAACAAGAGACAGAUACUAGAGUGACGUCACCGCAAGCCCAGAAACACCGAGAAUUGUUGGGAACCACCAGAAGCUGGAAGAAGCAAGGAACACACUCUCCCUCAGAACCUGCAGAAGGAACCAGCCCUACCUACACACCUUGAUUUUGGACUUGUAUCCUCCAGAAGUGCAAAUUGCAGAGCCUGCUCAGAUUCGGGAGGAGGAAACAGACUCCACGUGUUGAUGGAGGAGUGAUAGAGGUCCACAGGCAUGGAAGGACUUGGUGUCCAUCUUUGGAAACAGUCUCAAACAAGGAUUGUGUCCACCUGAGUUUGAGUAAAUGCAGAAAGAAUUGGCUUAUGGCGUUGAGGAGAGCCUAAAGCACAGAACCAUUGAGGGUUUUGCUGAAUGCAAUGGAACCACGGUCUCUGGAACGCCAGGGGCCGGUCGCCAUAGAAGCAGUCAACCUGAACUGCAGGGUGUUUAUCUUCAGGAAUCUUGAGGCCCACCCCCAGGAGCCUUGGGCUUCCAGGAGGAUCACUGCCCCUCUGACAAGCAUGUCUUUCUUAAAUAGGCUGCAGAUGGACUUAUGACAACAAGAAAAGUCCCAUCAAGCAUCUGUUUACAGACACAGACAUCACAGCACACGUGGAUUCCAGCGUAGAAACCUCACCUCACAUGAUUAGAGAGAUCUUCAAAGAGCAACAUUGUUCCUGGAAGCUCUUCAGUUUACUAGAAAGAGGUGAGUGUAGAAAGCGGGGGUUGAGAAGAAUAGCCCAUAUGGACCCCUGGAUGCCGUUAUUUUGCCUUUUAGGGCCCAGAGGAUCUGGGUGUUUUCUUUGCUGAUCUCCCUUGUGCAUGUGAUCAGGUGACAUUGGUGUCUGCACUGAUAGGGGUGGCUUCUACUUCUCACGGACAGAAUCAGGGCCACCUGUCUCCUUCUGGUACCACCUCUUGGGUAGUGGGUGGUCCAAAUAACGUGGAGAAGAGUCCUGAGUUUGUGCUGUCUCUGCUUUAAUUUGUGUACGUUUUCCUUUAACUACUCUGCUGGGAACAUUAAAUCAAUGCGGAUGAUUUUUGAAGAAUGUAAUCUAGAAAAUUCAAUUAUUUAGCGCCUGGAAGGGUUUCAAAGAUUAAAAUGCUGUGCAAAAAUGUGUAAGCAUUUAUUAUUAAAAUUAAACAAAUGUUUUCUCCAUGCAAUUAAAUUGCAUUGUCAAAAUGGUGUGUUUGACUCCUCCAAACACAUUUUGUGUGAUUUUUAUUUGGACUUUUUCUAAUGCUCCCAGGCAGAAUUAGAAACUUCUCUCCUCUGUUGCUCCCAUAGCUUUGUCUUUAUACCCCUAUUUUAGCUGAAUUCAAUUCAAUUUGAUUUUAUUUAGUUUCAAAUAACACUUAUUAAGUGUAAACUCGGUACUAGUUACGGUUCUGGGCUCCAAGGAACAAAACGUUAAGUUGUACCUUUCAUCAAACUACAAGAGUGUGUGUGUGUGUGUGUGUGUGUGUGUGUUUUAACUUUAAUGCAGUUAGUUCCCUGGUAACAACAAAAUUCAAAGGAGGCAGAGGGAAGGGAACGAAUGCCUAUCAGCCUUCCAGGUGCUGACAGCUUCAAAGAUGAAUGAUUUUGAUUGCAUUGAAUUAACUAUGAAAGCUUUCAGCAAAACUGAGUCCUUUCCCUUUUGGAAGGAUUCAUCUUUUUUUAAGUUUAUUUUUGAGAGAGACAGAGAGAGAGAACACAAGUAAGG